AACGCAUAUUGCGCUCGAGGCUUCGGCCGAGAGCAUGUCUGCCUCAGCGUCGGUCCAUCCCCUCACACCUUCCCUUUGCUUUUGCAAGGGGCUGGGCUGUGGAUCUGGCCGUGUCGGCUGCCUGUUGUGGCCGAGUCGGCUGAAGCUCAGAGGCUUGAGCAAGCGCCCAUUCAACCGGGCAUCAACUAGGUGGGUGGCCUUCGGGCUGCGAAGCCGUUGAUGGCCGGGGGACUUGCUGGGGGCCUGCAGGAACACCGCCCGCCGACAGGAGGGCUGGUGGCGAUUCACCUUUCGACCUGAGAUCAGGCAAGAACACCCGCUGAACUUAA
rnacentral:misc_RNA from 1 species